AGCCUACGGGGGGCAGCAGUGGGGAAUAUUGGGCAAUGGGCGCAAGCCUGACCCAGCGACGCCGCGUGAGGGAAGACGGUCUUCGGAUUGUAAACCUCUUUCAGCAGGGAAGACAAAAGGACGGUACCUGCAGAAGAAGCCACGGCUAACUACGUGCCAGCAGCCGCGGUAAUACGUAGGUGGCAAGCGUUGUCCGGAUUUACUGGGUGUAAAGGGCGUGUAGCCGGGCCGGCAAGUCAGAUGUGAAAUCCCAAGGCUCAACCUUGGAACUGCAUUUGAAACUGUUGGUCUUGAGUAUCGGAGAG
rnacentral:rRNA from 1 species